AUAAAAGAUGAAUGAUAUAAAUAUAAGAAUAAAACCCCGAGAAGUAAAUGUAAGACUCCUACUGGUUAAGAGGGAGCAAGCCCCGCCCUCACCUGCUCUGUAGCGUCGCAUGUGCUUACACACACACACACACACACAGAGACGGAUGUGCAUGAGAUCACUGUUGAUUAAAACUGUGAGUUAUUGCUGAAAGAGAAACAACUAUAAAUGUGAUAAAUUGAGCGGAUAUCCAUACCGGAAAUCUGCAAGGAUUUCGGAGGGACGAACUUGGGUGAACUUUUUGAACUUCGGAAUCAACGCGAUCUGCACGGGUGUGGAUGAAGCGGACAGGAUCUUCUCUAAGAGUGAACAAUUGAAGCGCGCUGGCUAGGUUUUUGUGGGACCGUGAGAUCUGGAUUUCUUCCUGACGAGGAAGAUGGCGAGCCUUUCUUUUUGAAUCGAACCGGAGCCAUUCCGAGUUGGCCCAGAAGGGCAGGUCGCUCUUCUUUCAUGAACAAUCACAACAGUGCGGUAGGACGAAAUCGCACCAAUCACAGACUUUUGACUUUUUGGAUUUUACUUGACUGAACACUGACUAUUACGUUGGCAAGACUGACAUAUCUGAGCUCAGAUAGGAUUGGGAAAUUACUAUUGCUGUUGUUUUUAUUUUAUAUUUCCAUUCCUGUAGAAAGAGUUGU